AUGGUACACGAGACAAGAUCACGGACUCAUGCGGCUGAAGAAGGAAAAAAUGCCCCAAAAGGGCAGAAGGAAGAGCACAAAGAGCAGGAAGGGGGAAAGGAGCGACCCUCCAAGAACAAGAAGCCGGUCGAGCCGGAGGCACCAACGAAGACCAAGAAGCUCAAGGGUGGGGAGUCUGAGCUAGAUGGGAAGGAAAACUCAACGAAAGAGUUUGAAGACUUCUGCAAGGCCAUAAGAGAGCACCUCUCCGUGGAGGACAUGCGCAAGAUCCUCGAAGCCAAUGAUCAAGACGCUUCUGGACCAGAAGAUGCAGUUGUGCAAAUCUGUGAGGAUAUGAUGUUUUACGGGCCGCUUGAGAAGUGCCCAAUGUGUGGUGGCCAGCUCGAGUGCAAGGGGUGGAAGUAUAAGUGCACUGGCAAAUACAGUGAGUGGGCAAGCUGCAUUUUCAGCAGCAGCAAUCCUCCAAGGAGGUCUGAUCCUAUAAAGGUGCCGGAGGACAUCAGCAAUGAUUUUGUGAACAAGUGGCUGAAGCAGCAAGAAGGGAAGGGGUACCCUAAGCGUGAUGUGGACGAAGAGGCACAUAUCUUCUCGGGCAUGAUGAUUGCAUUGUCCGGACGGAUGUCACGCUCACACGCUUAUUUCAAGGAGCAGAUUCUGAACCAUGGAGGGAAAGUGAAUAAUUCUGUGCUUGGUGUCACAUGUGUAGUUGCUUCUCCAGCCGAGAGAGACAAGGGGGGCUCAGGAGGAUUUGCUGAAGCACUGGAGCGUGGAACUCCAGUAGUGAGUGAGAACUGGAUAGUUGAUAGCAUUCAGAAGAAGGAAGCCCAGCCUUUGGCUGCUUAUGAUAUUGUAUCGGAUGUUGUUCCGGAGGGCAGAGGACUGCCGCUGGACAAGCUUGAUCCAAGCGAGGAGGCCAUCGAGACUUUGGCUGCAGAGCUGAAACUUGCUGGCAAACGAUCGGUGCACAAGGACUCUAAACUGGACAAGGACGGUGGGCAUAUCUUCGAGAAGGAUGGCAUCAUCUACAACUGCGCGUGUUCAAUUUGCGAGUUAGGAUCUGAGAUGAACCAGUUCUGCAUUAUGCAGCUGAUCAUGCUACCUGAAAAACAGCUGCACCUUUUCUACAAGAAGGGUCCAAUUGGCCAUGAUCAGAUGGCAGAGGAACGGGUCGAGGAUUUUGGUAACCGUGUCAAUGAUGCUAUCAAGGAAUUUGCCCGUCUAUUUGAGGAGGUCACUGGAAAUGAGUUCGAGCCAUGGGAGAGAGAGAAGAAGUUUGAGAAGAAGAGUAUGAAGAUGUACCCCUUAGACAUGGAUGUUGGUUUUGACGUGCGUCAUGGAGGUGCAGCACUCCGUCAGCUGGGAGCUGCAGCAGCACACUGCAAGCUUGACCCUGCCAUUUCUUUUCUUCUAAAGCAACUGUGCGGACAAGAAAUAUAUAGGUAUGCUCUGACAGAGAUGGCCCAGGAUCUGCCUGAUCUUCCUGUUGGGAUGCUUACGGAUCUCCAUUUGAAGAGAGGGGAGGAAGUGCUACUUGAAUGGAUCCGAGACGCGGAAGCAGCGCCGGAGUCUGGCCCUGCUGCUGAUGCAUUGUGGAUAGAGAUAAGCAACAAGUGGUUCACCCUGUUCCCCACAACUCGGCCGUAUAUAAUGAGGGGGUUUGAACAGAUUGCUGACAAUGUGGCCUCUGGUUUCGAGACGAUCCGCGAUAUAAAUGUUGCGUCUCAUCUCAUAGGAGAUAUGUUCGAUUCAACCUUAGAUGAUCCGCUGUCCGAAUGCUACAAGAAACUGGGUUGUUCAAUCAACAGCGUUCCUGAAGACUCAGAGGAUUACAAGAUGAUUGUCAAGUACCUGGAGAAAACAUAUGAACCGGUCAAGGUCGACGACGUGGUCUACGGUGUGUCUGUGGAUCGGAUAUAUGCUGUUGAAUCCAGUGCAUUCCCUUCUUAUGAAGAAAUAAAGAAACUGCCAAACAAAGUUCUUCUCUGGUGUGGAACGAGAAGCUCAAACCUGCUUAGGCAUCUGCAUAAAGGUUUCCUGCCUGCUGUUUGUCAUCUGCCUGUGCCCGGAUACAUGUUUGGUCGAGCCAUAGUCUGUUCGGACGCGGCGGCUGAAGCCGCUCGUUAUGGCUAUACGGCGGUGGACCGUCCAGAAGGAUACCUGGUCUUGGCAGUGGCCUCUCUGGGGAAAGAGAUCAAAGAGAUAACAGGCACACCAGGAGCAGAGGAUGUGAAAUCCCUGGAGGAGAAGAAGCUUGGCGUGAAGGGGGUGGGGAGGAAGACGACGGACGAGUCGGAGCACCUCACCUGGAGGGACGGCGUCAAGGUGCCCUGCGGCAAGCUGGUGCCGUCGGGGAACGAGCACGGGCCGCUCGAGUACAACGAGUUCGCCGUGUAUGACCCAAAGCAGGUGAGCAUCCAGUUCCUGGUCGGGGUGAGGUACGAGGAGCAGAACAUGGAGGUGGUGCCGGACGAGUGA
rnacentral:rRNA from 1 species